rnacentral:rRNA from 1 species
UACAGAGGUCUCAAGCGUUGUUCGGAUUCAUUGGGCGUAAAGGGUGCGUAGGUGGCGCCGUAAGUCAGGUGUGAAAUUUCGGAGCUUAACUCCGAAACUGCAUUGAUACUGCGGUGCUUGAGGACUGGAGAGGAGACUGGAAUUUACGGUGUAGCAGUGAAAUGCGUAGAGAUCGUAAGGAAGACCAGUGGCGAAGGCGGGUCUCUGGACAGUUCCUGACACUGAGGCACGAAGGCCAGGG